UUUUGUUUCAUUGGGUGCAACCUGCUUGCAUGUGACAGAAUAUCAAUGUUAGCUGUGAAUCAUUUACUUGUAAGGUUUGAGUCAAUGCCAUAUAUGGACACUUAUCGAGAGAUUAAUUUGCAUAAUGUAGUUCCGUCAAUUGGUCAUGCGAUUGUUGGGUGUGGCAGCUGCAGUGCUUCAGUGUCGCCUUGGAUGUCUCUGAAUCAACCUGCUUCAAACUUAACUGACUUCCAUUUGUGGCUGGGUGAUCCAAAGUACCAUGGCUGCACAAUCUGAAGCAGCCUGCCAGACUGAUGUCCCUACCAUGAUGCAACAGGAGGCACAGGUACCCACCCCCUCAGCUACAACAGAUUCCCCACAACGAACUGGAGCCAUUGUCAACAUACAUGUAGGCACAGUCAGCGGUAGCCACUGCCCUAUCAUUGCAGGUUCAAGUGAAGUUAGUUUCACUCACAGCUUGCCGUCGGAUGC